rnacentral:rRNA from 1 species
GACGAACGCUGGCGGCACGCCUAACACAUGCAAGUCGAACGGAGUUUAGAGUGCUUGCAUUCUGAACUUAGUGGCGGACGGGUGAGUAACACGUGAGCAACCUACCUUUCAGAGGGGGAUAACGUCUGGAAACGGACGCUAAUACCGCAUGACAUAGAGGUACCGCAUGGUACAUUUAUCAAAGGAGCAAUCCGCUGAGAGAUGGGCUCGCGUCCGAUUAGAUAGUUGGCGGGGUAAAGGCCCACCAAGUCGACAAUCGGUAGCCGGACUGAGAGGUUGAACGGCCACAUUGGGACUGAGACACGGCCCAGACUCCUACGGGAGGCAGCAGUGGGGGAUAUUGCACAAUGGGGGGAACCCUGAUGCAGCGAUGCCGCGUGAAUGAAGACGGCCUUCGGGUUGUAAAGUUCUGUCGCAGGGGACGAAGAUGACGGUACCCUGCAAGAAAGCUCCGGCUAACUACGUGCCAGCAGCCGCGGUAAUACGUAGGGAGCGAGCGUUGUCCGGAAUUACUGGGUGUAAAGGGAGCGUAGGCGGGAAGAUAAGUUGAAUGUGAAAUCCAUGGGCUCAACCCAUGGCUGCGUUCAAAACUGUUUUUCUUGAGUGAAGUAGAGGCAGGCGGAAUUCCUAGUGUAGCGGUGAAAUGCGUAGAUAUUAGGAGGAACACCAGUGGCGAAGGCGGCCUGCUGGGCUUUUACUGACGCUGAGGCUCGAAAGCGUGGGUAGCAAACAGGAUUAGAUACCCUGGUAGUCCACGCCGUAAACGAUGAUUACUAGGUGUGGGUGGACUGACCCCAUCCGUGCCGGAGUCAACACAAUAAGUAAUCCACCUGGGGAGUACGGCCGCAAGGUUGAAACUCAAAGGAAUUGACGGGGGCCCGCACAAGCAGUGGAGUAUGUGGUUUAAUUCGACGCAACGCGAAGAACCUUACCAGGUCUUGACAUCGAGUGACAGGUAUAGAGAUAUGCUGUUCCUACGGGACACGAAGACAGGUGGUGCAUGGUUGUCGUCAGCUCGUGUCGUGAGAUGUUGGGUUAAGUCCCGCAACGAGCGCAACCCUUACCAUUAGUUGCUACGCAAGAGCACUCUAAUGGGACUGCCGUUGACAAAACGGAGGAAGGUGGGGAUGACGUCAAAUCAUCAUGCCCCUUAUGACCUGGGCGACACACGUACUACAAUGGCGAUGAACAGAGGGAGGCAAAGCCGCGAGGCAGAGCGAAGCCCAAAAAAUCGUCCCAGUUCGGAUUGCAGGCUGAAACUCGCCUGCAUGAAGUCGGAAUUGCUAGUAAUCGCGGAUCAGAAUGCCGCGGUGAAUACGUUCCCGGGCC